UACGUAGGGUGCGAGCGUUAAUCGGAAUUACUGGGCGUAAAGCGUGCGCAGGCGGUUCGUGAUGUCUGGUGUGAAAGCCCCGGGCUUAACCUGGGAAUUGCAUUGGAAACAAGCGGGCUGGAGUGUGGCAGAGGGGGGUGGAAUUCCACGUGUAGCAGUGAAAUGCGUAGAGAUGUGGAGGAACACCGAUGGCGAAGGCAGCCCCCUGGGCUAACACUGACGCUCAUGCACGAAAGCGUGGGGAGCAAACAGG
rnacentral:rRNA from 1 species